UCGAUUCCCUUAGUAGCGGCGAGCGAAACGGGAAGAGCCCAAACCAACAAGCUUGCUUGUUGGGGUUGUAGGACACUCUAUACGGAGUUACAAAGGACGACAUUAGACGAAUCAUCUGGAAAGAUGAAUCAAAGAAGGUAAUAAUCCUGUAGUCGAAAAUGUUGUCUCUCUUGAGUGGAUCCUGAGUACGACGGAGCACGUGAAAUUCCGUCGGAAUCUGGGAGGACCAUCUCCUAAGGCUAAAUACUCUCUAGUGACCGAUAGUGAACCAGUACCGUGAGGGAAAGGUGAAAAGCACCCCGGAAGGGGAGUGAAAUAGAACCUGAAACCGUGUGCUUACAAGUAGUCAGAGCCCGUUAAUGGGUGAUGGCGUGCCUUUUGUAGAAUGAACCGGCGAGUUACGAUUUGAUGCAAGGUUAAGCAGUAAAUGUGGAGCCGUAGCGAAAGCGAGUCUGAAUAGGGCGUUUAGUAUUUGGUCGUAGGCCCGAAACCAGGUGAUCUACCCUUGGUCAGGUUGAAGUUCAGGUAACACUGAAUGGAGGACCGAACCGACUUACGUUGAAAAGUGAGCGGAUGAACUGAGGGUAGCGGAGAAAUUCCAAUCGAACCUGGAGAUAGCUGGUUCUCUCCGAAAUAGCUUUAGGGCUAGCCUCAAGUGAUGAUUAUUGGAGGUAGAGCACUGUUUGGACGAGGGGCCCCUCUCGGGUUACCGAAUUCAGACAAACUCCGAAUGCCAAUUAAUUUAACUUGGGAGUCAGAACAUGGGUGAUAAGGUCCGUGUUCGAAAGGGAAACAGCCCAGACCACCAGCUAAGGUCCCAAAAUAUAUGUUAAGUGGAAAAGGAUGUGGCGUUGCCCAGACAACUAGGAUGUUGGCUUAGAAGCAGCCAUCAUUUAAAGAGUGCGUAAUAGCUCACUAGUCGAGUGACACUGCGCCGAAAAUGUACCGGGGCUAAACAUAUUACCGAAGCUGUGGAUUGUCCUUUGGACAAUGGUAGGAGAGCGUUCUAAGGGCGUUGAAGCAUGAUCGUAAGGACAUGUGGAGCGCUUAGAAGUGAGAAUGCCGGUGUGAGUAGCGAAAGACGGGUGAGAAUCCCGUCCACCGAUUGACUAAGGUUUCCAGAGGAAGGCUCGUCCGCUCUGGGUUAGUCGGGUCCUAAGCUGAGGCCGACAGGCGUAGGCGAUGGAUAACAGGUUGAUAUUCCUGUACCACCUAUAAUCGUUUUAAUCGAUGGGGGGACGCAGUAGGAUAGGCGAAGCGUGCGAUUGGAUUGCACGUCUAAGCAGUAAGGCUGAGUAUUAGGCAAAUCCGGUACUCGUUAAGGCUGAGCUGUGAUGGGGAGAAGACAUUGUGUCUUCGAGUCGUUGAUUUCACACUGCCGAGAAAAGCCUCUAGAUAGAAAAUAGGUGCCCGUACCGCAAACCGACACAGGUAGUCAAGAUGAGAAUUCUAAGGUGAGCGAGCGAACUCUCGUUAAGGAACUCGGCAAAAUGACCCCGUAACUUCGGGAGAAGGGGUGCUCUUUAGGGUUAACGCCCAGAAGAGCCGCAGUGAAUAGGCCCAAGCGACUGUUUAUCAAAAACACAGGUCUCUGCUAAACCGUAAGGUGAUGUAUAGGGGCUGACGCCUGCCCGGUGCUGGAAGGUUAAGAGGAGUGGUUAGCUUCUGCGAAGCUACGAAUCGAAGCCCCAGUAAACGGCGGCCGUAACUAUAACGGUCCUAAGGUAGCGAAAUUCCUUGUCGGGUAAGUUCCGACCCGCACGAAAGGCGUAACGAUUUGGGCACUGUCUCAACGAGAGACUCGGUGAAAUCAUAGUACCUGUGAAGAUGCAGGUUACCCGCGACAGGACGGAAAGACCCCGUGGAGCUUUACUGUAGCCUGAUAUUGAAAUUCGGCACAGCUUGUACAGGAUAGGUAGGAGCCUUUGAAACGUGAGCGCUAGCUUACGUGGAGGCGCUGGUGGG
rnacentral:rRNA from 1 species